rnacentral:lncRNA from 1 species
GCAAUACAAGUUCUAUCAAUUAGUGUUGGAUGCAAUGACUUGAAUAGUUUAAUAUUCAUUUGCAGAGAAAAAAAGUGGAGAAAGAAAACUAAAAAUUUGCGUGCGUUCUGUUGGAAAUUUGAUUAUUUUCAUUUGAGCAUUAAAUACUGACACGAUCUCUUCGACUUCUCUUGCAUUUGAAUGAAUGGAUGAGUGCUAAUGCAUACAAAGACUUCCAUACAUGCACAAUGAAUGCUACAUCAAAGGUAUAGUAAAAUGUCAGCAAGCUUGGCCCAAGUUAUCAAGCUGGUUCGGUAGCUGGUAGAUUUGUUCAUCCGGAUUUUGGACCAUUUUCCUUGAUAAUAAGAAAGCUCCUACAUCUGUAAAUUGAAGUGCCAAAAGAGAGAUGGAAGUGAAUGACUAGAGAGUUAGUGAUUGUGUGGGAAGCUUUGGGUAUAAUUGGGGUUUGGGUGUGAGAUAAAAUAAUUUGAGAGUGGUUGUAAUAAUUUUUUAUAUAGUGAAAUAUUUUAUCUCAUUGUCCUUAGCAACCGUG